CCUACGGGAGGCAGCAGUGGGGAAUCUUGCGCAAUGGGCGAAAGCCUGACGCAGCAACGCCGCGUGCGGGAUGAAGGCCCUCGGGUUGUAAACCGCUUUCAGCAGGGACGCGGUACCUGCAGAAGAAGCCCCGGCUAACUACGUGCCAGCAGCCGCGGUAAUACGUAGGGGGCAAGCGUUUUCCGGAUUUAUUGGGCGUAAAGAGCUCGUAGGCGGUUCCGUAAGUCGAGUGUGAAAAAUCUGGGCUCAACCCAGUGGAGCACUCGAUACUGCGGGACUAGAGUACGGUAGAGGAGUGUGGAAUUCCUGGUGUAGCGGUGAAAUGCGCAGAUAUCAGGAGGAACACCAACGGCGAAGGCAGCACUCUGGGCCGGACUGACGCUGAGGAGCGAAAGCGUGGGGAGCAAACAGGAUUAGAUACCCUUGUAGUC
rnacentral:rRNA from 1 species